rnacentral:misc_RNA from 1 species
ACAGUUUAUAAAGGGCAUCCCCAAUCAACAAGGCUCCCCACUUUGUGAAGGCGAAGGAAUGUAAAAUAGCCUCACUCUAGCAUUUUACAAAGAGACUAUUUCCACAACUUGAACUCAUGACUUCCUGGCCAUAAAGAAGUAAAAUCUUAAUAUUGAAUAACAACUUUCCUACUAAAAUUUCAAGUUACUCAGAUAAUUUAAGUUGCACCUGUGGAAUGAAGUUUUAUAGCAUAAAAUUAGAUAUGAAUGCAUCGUCUUUUAAUUCAGUUCAAUAGAAAGCAGUUAACACAGCCAACCA